AUCCACCUCAAGAUGAUCAUGAGCAAUCUCUAAUCUUACGUGACCGUCCCUAGAGCAAGUGGCAAAGGACUUGAUAGUUGGUAUUCAAGAUUCAAGUUCGAAUUCUAGUUAGAUUCACAUUUCCAGCUAAGUUUAUUUCUAAAUGAAAUAAAUAAAGCGGAUAGCGUUUUACCUAUUUCUCUAAAAAAAAAAAAGAAGCAAUCUCUAAUCUUAAAAUACAAUAUUAAAUCAAGUUAGAUUUGGAGCAUAAAAAAUCCUAUAUAAUAUUGGAGUGAUCGAUUAUGAAAUAUGAUAUCUUUUAUUAUACAUUGCUUGUAGGAGGAAGUCUACUAUGUAUCACUUACACCACAUUAUCAAUAAUCAAUCAAUUGCAUCGAUCUAUUUAAGAGAAAAGUAUGUAUAAUAAAAAAUAUUUUUUUAAUAAUUAUAAUGAAAUGGAUGGAUUCAAGAAGAACAAUUUAAUUGAUUGAUAACGUUAUAUCUGUUAGAUGUGACUCGAAAUUGAUAAUCGACUUAAGUUCGGAUUUUCGACUCGCCGACAGUUUUGUAGUGCGACCAAAUUGAAAAAUAAAACUGUGAAGGAAAAAUGAAUGUCUGUGAUGGAUAGCGAAGGGCUCAAGCCGAUAGAUUCAAGAGGCGUGAGAUCGUGGUCGGUCGUACCCUCUAAACAUUGUAUUUUCUUUU
rnacentral:lncRNA from 1 species